GUGCCAGCAGCCGCGGUAAUACGUAGGUCCCGAGCGUUGUCCGGAUUUAUUGGGCGUAAAGCAAGCGCAGGCGGUUUGAUAAGUCUGAAGUUAAAGGCUGUGGCUCAACCAUAGUUCGCUUUGGAAACUGUCAAACUUGAGUGCAGAAGGGGAGAGUGGUAUUCCAUGUGUAGCGGUGAAAUGCGUAGAUAUAUGGAGGAACACCGGUGGCGAAAGCGGCUCUCUGGUCUGUAACUGACGCUGAGGCUCGAAAGCGUGGGGAGCGAACAGGAUU
rnacentral:rRNA from 1 species